GACGAACGCUGGCGGCGUGCUUAACACAUGCCAGUCGAACGGAAAGGCCUCUUUCGGGGGGUACUCGAGUGGCGAAUGGGUGAGUAACACGUGAGUAACCUGCCCUUGACUUUGGGAUAACUUCAGGAAACUGGGGCUAAUACCGGAUAGGAGCUCCUGCUGCAUGGUGGGGGUUGGAAAGUUUCGGCGGUUGGGGAUGGACUCGCGGCUUAUCAGCUUGUUGGUGGGGUAGUGGCUUACCAAGGCUUUGACGGGUAGCCGGCCUGAGAGGGUGACCGGCCACAUUGGGACUGAGAUACGGCCCAGACUCCUACGGGAGGCAGCAGUGGGGAAUAUUGCACAAUGGGUGGAAGCCUGAUGCAGCAACGCCGUGUGCGGGAUGACGGCCUUCGGGUUGUAAACCGCUUUCGCUCAUGACGAAGCUUUGUGUGACGGUAGUGGGUAAAGAAGCACCGGCUAACUACGUG
rnacentral:rRNA from 1 species